rnacentral:lncRNA from 1 species
GACAAGUGCACAACACAAGGGAAUGUUAUUAUUGAUAUACAUGUGAAUAUCAUGCAGAGGCUACUUGCAAUUUGUACAGCAAAAGGUUGACCUCAUAGCCUUUAUCCUAUUUUCUUCAGAAGUGCUCCAGCUGGGGAUGCUGCAGAUCAUAUCAGAAAUGCUGGCGUAACCUAAACACCUGACAAAUAGGUUAACGCAGAGAUGAAGGCAGAUCACAGGCAAUUUAUACAGCAAAAGAUUGACAAGAGUCUUCGUUCUAUUUUUCUACAACAGUGCUCGAGGAGAUGUUGCAGUCACAACAAAAAGUGCUGCCAUAACUUGUCUUUUCAGGCUUAACUGAUGCACCUGUCAACGAAGGUGGAAUCUGAAUCUUAUUAUAUGAGGUUUGGUUUCAGGUUUAUGAUUUUUUUAAAAUAAAAGGGUUAUGUAAAAUGACAUCAAGAAUAUAGCAAAGACAUUACCUUACUGUUCCACCUUGUUUUGUGUAUGAGCACUCUCAGAUCUUAUCAAAGGUGAAAUAAAGCUUAUGGCUGACAUCAUGUGAGUGAGAGCUAGUUUAGAAAUUUUAGGCGGGUUCAGUAGUGCAAAACUAACAUAGCAAGGGGCACCAAACUUCUCAACAGUCCCAAGGCAUAUCCCAGGCAAGCAUAGUAUAUAAGGAAUUAAGGAUUAACCAUGAGCAGCUGAGCUUCCUGGAAACACCCCGUAGUGGCAUACAGAGAUUAAAAAGUGAUCAGAUAGCAUUUCGAUUUUUUGCAAGCUUUGGGAAUUACAGAUUCAUUGCUUAAUAAUUAGAUCUAAUACAGAAUGCAAUGAUUUACAUUACCUUGGUUGUACGAUUUCCAUGUUCUUAAUAUCUUGUGACAGUUGACAUUCAGAGAAUCAACACUGUAAAAUAAAAAUGAAAAAUGGUUAAGUAGUCAUGAAGGAAGUAAAGCUAUGGACAUACUGUUAUGUAAAAUGUUUUACAGGAAUAAACUCAUUAUAUAUGCUCUCGAACUAUCUACCAAGUUUCAGAUCAGUAUUGUCCGGGUGCUUUAAUUUUAGGUUGCAACCUCAAAACCUACUAUCUUAUUGAUUCAUAUGUUCUAUAUCAUAGCAUUUAAAUUUCACAUAGCCAUUCAUGCAUGGAUACAUGCAGAAAGUUUGUUCUUGAUGCUUGUUUAAGCACACAUCUGUGGCCCAAAACAUUAGAAGAGCAGUAUUUGCAAUUCAAAAACUAAGAGAGCUAUAUGAUUUCUCUAAUAGUUGUUAUGAAAUUUUAAGCCCAUAUUUUACAUGAGAUUAAGACAACAUUAUUAUAUGGUUUCUUUGUAUUCGGCGAGACUAAGGAUAAGUAUAAUUAAUUAUGUUUAUUAACAGCAAGUAGUUAUCUCCGACUUGUACAGGCAGCCAUAUGCUUUUCCUAAUUAGAGAGACAUGUUUCCUUCAGCUGAGUCGCCAUGGAACCCAGUUGAAUGUUACCAUUUGGCACGAAUUUGAGCAAUAAUCGUUUCAACAAACUGAGUACCACAAAAGAAGCACAAUUCCUUGAGAAAUAAUUAAUAUAAAUGGUAAUUUAUACAGCACAGAAGAAUAGCUCUAGUCAUUUCUCAGUGAGUAAUGCUAGUAAUUGCUGUUUUGGUUACGUCCAGCUGCUGGUAGGAAAUUGGUGGAUAUUGAAUUCAAAUGAAUAUAUAUUGUGGAUAGAUUAAUACCUGCGCGGGGUCAUAAUCAUGUACAAUAUUACAGGCUCUUGCUUCCGUUCUUGUUAUUAGGCAUUUCUACAAACAACUUGUGUGCAGUAGAGAUAGCUCGUCAGAGGGAGCAGCGGCCAUAUGCACGGACAGAGGGGAGGGCUGCAGAGGCUGCUACGAC